rnacentral:rRNA from 1 species
GAAUAUUGGACAAUGGGGGCAACCCUGAUCCAGCAACGCCGCGUGGGGGAUGAAGGUCUUCGGAUCGUAAACUCCUGUUGCCCGGGACGAAUGGCUCCAACCUAAUACGUUGGAGUGUGACGGUACCGGGUGAGGAAGCCCCGGCUAACUCUGUGCCAGCAGCCGCGGUAAUACAGAGGGGGCAAGCGUUGUUCGGAAUUACUGGGCGUAAAGGGCGCGUAGGCGGCCUGCUAAGUCGAACGUGAAAUCCCUGGGCUCAACCCAGGAACUGCGUCCGAUACUGGUUGGCUUGAAUCCGGGAGAGGGAUGUGGAAUUCCAGGUGUAGCGGUGAAAUGCGUAGAUAUCUGGAGGAACACCGGUGGCGAAGGCGACAUCCUGGACCGGCAUUGACGCUGAGGCGCGAAAGCCAGGGGAGCAAACGGG